rnacentral:rRNA from 1 species
UACGGAGGGUGCAAGCGUUGUUCGGAUUCACUGGGCGUAAAGAGCGCGUAGGCGGUUAUGUAAGUUGAGGGUGAAAUCCCCGAGCUCAACUCGGGAAUGGCUCUCAAAACUGCAUAACUAGAGUUUAUCAGAGGCAGGCAGAAUUCCAGGUGUAGAGGUGAAAUUCGUAGAUAUCUGGAGGAAUACCGGAGGCGAAGGCGGCCUGCUGGGAUAUAACUGACGCUGAGGCGCGAAAGCAUGGGUAGCAAACGGG